rnacentral:rRNA from 1 species
AGAGUUUGAUCCUGGCUCAGGAUGAACGCUAGCGACAGGCCUAACACAUGCAAGUCGAGGGGCAGCGGGGAGGUAGCAAUACCUUUGUCGGCGACCGGCGCACGGGUGAGUAACACGUAUGCAAUCCACCUGUAACAGGGGGAUAACCCGGAGAAAUCCGGACUAAUACCCCAUAAUAUGGGCGCUCCGCAUGGAGAGCCCAUUAAAGAGAGCAAUUUUGGUUACAGACGAGCAUGCGCUCCAUUAGCCAGUUGGCGGGGUAACGGCCCACCAAAGCGACGAUGGAUAGGGGUUCUGAGAGGAAGGUCCCCCACAUUGGAACUGAGACACGGUCCAAACUCCUACGGGAGGCAGCAGUGAGGAAUAUUGGUCAAUGGUCGGCAGACUGAACCAGCCAAGUCGCGUGAGGGAAGACGGCCCUACGGGUUGUAAACCUCUUUUGUCGGAGAGUAAAGUACGCUACGUGUAGUGUAUUGCAAGUAUCCGAAGAAAAAGCAUCGGCUAACUCCGUGCCAGCAGCCGCGGUAAUACGGAGGAUGCAAGCGUUAUCCGGAUUUAUUGGGUUUAAAGGGUGCGUAGGCGGCACGCCAAGUCAGCGGUGAAAUUUCCGGGCUCAACCCGGAGUGUGCCGUUGAAACUGGCGAGCUAGAGUACACAAGAGGCAGGCGGAAUGCGUGGUGUAGCGGUGAAAUGCAUAGAUAUCACGCAGAACCCCGAUUGCGAAGGCAGCCUGCUAGGGUGAAACAGACGCUGAGGCACGAAAGCGUGGGUAUCGAACAGGAUUAGAUACCCUGGUAGUCCACGCAGUAAACGAUGAAUACUAACUGUUUGCGAUACAAUGUAAGCGGUACAGCGAAAGCGUUAAGUAUUCCACCUGGGGAGUACGCCGGCAACGGUGAAACUCAA